rnacentral:misc_RNA from 1 species
AAACGGCGACGCUUCGGCUUAGCUUUUAUAUCCUAACCACCUGUGAACUAUUUGCCUUCGGGCACAAUCUAAACAUAAUGUAAUGAAUGUAAACUAUUAUAACAAAUACAACUUUCAACAACGGAUCUCUUGGCUCU